rnacentral:rRNA from 2 species
CGGAGGGAAACCGAGUCUUAAUUGGGCGUUAAGUUGCAGGGUAUAGACCCGAAACCCGGUGAUCUAGCCAUGGGCAGGUUGAAGGUUGGGUAACACUAACUGGAGGACCGAACCGACUAAUGUUGAAAAAUUAGCGGAUGACCUGUGGCUGGGGGUGAAAGGCCAAUCAAACCGGGAGAUAGCUGGUUCUCCCCGAAAGCUAUUUAGGUAGCGCCUCGUGAAUUCAUCUCCGGGGGUAGAGCACUGUUUCGGCUAGGGGGCCAUCCCGGCUUACCAACCCGAUGCAAACUGCGAAUACCGGAGAAUGUUAUCACGGGAGACACACGGCGGGUGCUAACGUCCGUCGUGAAGAGGGAAACAACCCAGACCGCCAGCUAAGGUCCCAAAGUCAUGGUUAAGUGGGAAACGAUGUGGGAAGGCCCAGACAGCCAGGAUGUUGGCUUAGAAGCAGCCAUCAUUUAAAGAAAGCGUAAUAGCUCACUGGUCGAGUCGGCCUGCGCGGAAGAUGUAACGGGGCUAAACCAUGCACCGAAGCUGCGGCAGCGACGCUGAUGCGUUGUUGGGUAGGGGAGCGUUCUGUAAGCCUGCGAAGGUGGCCUGUGAGGGUUGCUGGAGGUAUCAGAAGUGCGAAUGCUGACAUAAGUAACGAUAAAGCGGGUGAAAAGCCCGCUCGCCGGAAGACCAAGGGUUCCUGUCCAACGUUAAUCGGGGCAGGGUGAGUCGACCCCUAAGGCGAGGCCGAAAGGCGUAGUCGAUGGGAAACGGGUUAAUAUUCCCGUACUUGGUGUUACUGCGAAGGGGGGACGGAGAAGGCUAUGUUGGCCGGGCGACGGUUGUCCCGGUUUAAGCGUGUAGGUGUGUGUUCCAGGUAAAUCCGGUUCACUUUAACACUGAGGCGUGAUGACGAGGCACUACGGUGCUGAAGCAACAAAUGCCCUGCUUCCAGGAAAAGCCUCUAAGCAUCAGGUAACAUCAAAUCGUACCCCAAACCGACACAGGUGGUCAGGUAGAGAAUACCAAGGCGCUUGAGAGAACUCGGGUGAAGGAACUAGGCAAAAUGGUGCCGUAACUUCGGGAGAAGGCACGCUGACACGUAGGUGAAGUGAUUUACUCAUGGAGCUGAAGUCAGUCGAAGAUACCAGCUGGCUGCAACUGUUUAUUAAAAACACAGCACUGUGCAAACACGAAAGUGGACGUAUACGGUGUGACGCCUGCCCGGUGCCGGAAGGUUAAUUGAUGGGGUCAGCGCAAGCGAAGCUCCUGAUCGAAGCCCCGGUAAACGGCGGCCGUAACUAUAACGGUCCUAAGGUAGCGAAAUUCCUUGUCGGGUAAGUUCCGACCUGCACGAAUGGCGUAAUGAUGGCCAGGCUGUCUCCACCCGAGACUCAGUGAAAUUGAACUCGCUGUGAAGAUGCAGUGUACCCGCGGCAAGACGGAAAGACCCCGUGAACCUUUACUAUAGCUUGACACUGAACAUUGAGCCUUGAUGUGUAGGAUAGGUGGGAGGCUUUGAAGUGUGGACGCCAGUCUGCAUGGAGCCGACCUUGAAAUACCACCCUUUAAUGUUUGAUGUUCUAACGUGGACCCGUGAUCCGGGUUGCGGACAGUGUCUGGUGGGUAGUUUGACUGGGGCGGUCUCCUCCUAAAGAGUAACGGAGGAGCACGAAGGUUGGCUAAUCCUGGUCGGACAUCAGGAGGUUAGUGCAAUGGCAUAAGCCAGCUUGACUGCGAGCGUGACGGCGCGAGCAGGUGCGAAAGCAGGUCAUAGUGAUCCGGUGGUUCUGAAUGGAAGGGCCAUCGCUCAACGGAUAAAAGGUACUCCGGGGAUAACAGGCUGAUACCGCCCAAGAGUUCAUAUCGACGGCGGUGUUUGGCACCUCGAUGUCGGCUCAUCACAUCCUGGGGCUGAAGUAGGUCCCAAGGGUAUGGCUGUUCGCCAUUUAAAGUGGUACGCGAGCUGGGUUUAGAACGUCGUGAGACAGUUCGGUCCCUAUCUGCCGUGGGCGCUGGAGAACUGAGGGGGGCUGCUCCUAGUACGAGAGGACCGGAGUGGACGCAUCACUGGUGUUCGGGUUGUCAUGCCAAUGGCACUGCCCGGUAGCUAAAUGCGGAAGAGAUAAGUGCUGAAAGCAUCUAAGCACGAAACUUGCCCCGA